UUACGAUCCCUUCGGGGUGACGAGUUAUUGACUGAGUGGCGGACGGGUGAGUAACGCGUGGGUAACCUACCUUGUACAGGGGGACAACAGUUGGAAACGACUGCUAAUACCGCAUAAGCGCACAGCAUCGCAUGAUGCAGUGUGAAAAGUUUUUUCGGUACAAGAUGGACCCGCGUCUGAUUAGCUAGUUGGUGAGGUAACGGCCCACCAAGGCGACGAUCAGUAGCCGACCUGAGAGGGUGACCGGCCACAUUGGGACUGAGACACGGCCCAAACUCCUACGGGAGGCAGCAGUGGGGAAUAUUGCACAAUGGGCGCAAGCCUGAUGCAGCGACGCCGCGUGAGCGAAGAAGUAUUUCGGUAUGUAAAGCUCUAUCAGCAGGGAAGAUAAUGACGGUACCUGACUAAGAAGCACCGGCUAAAUACGUGCCAGCAGCCGCGGUAAUACGUAUGGUGCAAGCGUUAUCCGGAUUUACUGGGUGUAAAGGGAGCGUAGGCGGUUUUACAAGUCUGAUGUGAAAGCCCGGGGCUCAACUCCGGUAUUGCAUUG
rnacentral:rRNA from 1 species